CAACUUUCAACAACGGAUCUCUUGGUUCUGGCACCGAUGAAGAACGCAGCGAAAUGCGAUAAGUAGUGUGAAUUGCAGAAUUCAGUGAAUCAUCGAAUCUUUGAACGCACAUUGCGCCCCUUGGUAUUCCAUGGGGCAUGCCUGUUCGAGCGUCAUUUGUACC
rnacentral:rRNA from 1 species